rnacentral:rRNA from 1 species
GACGAACGCUGGCGGCGUGCCUAAUACAUGCAAGUAGAACGCUGAAGGAGGAGCUUGCUUCUCUGGAUGAGUUGCGAACGGGUGAGUAACGCGUAGGUAACCUACCUGGUAGCGGGGGAUAACUAUUGGAAACGAUAGCUAAUACCGCAUAAGAGUAGAUGUCGCAUGACAUUUGCUUAAAAGGUGCAAUUGCAUCACUACCAGAUGGACCUGCGUUGUAUUAGCUAGUUGGUGAGGUAACGGCUCACCAAGGCAACGAUACAUAGCCGACCUGAGAGGGGGAUCGGCCACCCUGGGACUGAGACACGGCCCAGACUCCUACGGGAGGCAGCAGUAGGGAAUCUUCGGCAAUGGACGGAAGUCUGACCGAGCAACGCCGCGUGAGUGAAGAAGGGUUUCGGAUCGUAAAGCUCUGUUGUAAGAGAAGAACGAGUGUGAGAGUGGAAAGUUCACACUGUGACGGUAUCUUACCAGAAAGGGACGGCUAACUACGUG